GCUUAGCCCUAAACCUAAAUAAUUUAAUAACAAAAAUAUUUGCCAGAGAACUACUAGCCAUCGCUUAAAACUCAAAGGACUUGGCGGUACUUUAUAUCCAUCUAGAGGAACCUGUUCUAUAAUCGAUAAACCCCGCUACACCUCACCAUCCCUUGCUAAUUCAGCCUAUAUACCGCCAUCUUCAGCAAACCCUAAAAAGGAACCAAAGUAAGCACAAUAACAAACAUAAAAACGUUAGGUCAAGGUGUAGCCAAUGGGAUGGGAAGAAAUGGGUUACAUUUUCUUACUAAAGAACAUUACGAAACCCUUUAUGAAACUAAAGGAUAAAGGAGGAUUUAGUAGUAAAUUAAGAAUAGAGAGCUUAAUUG
rnacentral:rRNA from 1 species